GAUGAACGCUGGCGGCGUGCCUAAUACAUGCAAGUCGAGCGAACAGACGAGGAGCUUGCUCCUCUGACGUUAGCGGCGGACGGGUGAGUAACAUGUGGAUAACCUACCUAUAAGACUGGGAUAACUUCGGGAAACCGGAGCUAAUACCGGAUAAUAUACUGAACCGCAUGGUUCAAUAGUGAAAGACGGUUUUGCUGUCACUUAUAGAUGGAUCCGCGCCGCAUUAGCUAGUUGGGAAGGUAACGGCUUACCAAGGCAACGAUGCGUAGCCGACGUGUGUGGGUGGUAGGCCGCCCUGGAACGGGAACACGGUCCUGACGCCUACGGGAGGCAGCAGUAGGGAAUCUUCCGCAGUGGGGGAGAGCCUGACGGAGCGACGGCGCGUGAGUUAUGAAGGUGUUCGGAUCGUAAAGAUGUGUUAUUAGGGAUAAACAGCUGUGUCAGUAACUAAGGACGGCUUGACGGUACCUGAUCAGGAAGCCACGGCUAACUACGUG
rnacentral:rRNA from 1 species